rnacentral:rRNA from 1 species
AGCGGCGGACGGGUGAGUAACGCGUGGGUAACCUGCCUCAUACAGGGGGAUAACAGUUGGAAACGGCUGCUAAUACCGCAUAAGCGCACAGUACCGCAUGGUACGGUGUGAAAAACUCCGGUGGUAUGAGAUGGACCCGCGUCUGAUUAGGUAGUUGGUGGGGUAACGGCCUACCAAGCCGACGAUCAGUAGCCGACCUGAGAGGGUGACCGGCCACAUUGGGACUGAGACACGGUCCAG